GACGAACGCUGGCGGCGUGCCUAAUACAUGCAAGUCGAGCGGACGGAUGGGAGCUUGCUCCCAGACCGUCAGCGGCGGACGAGUGAGUAACACGUGGGCAACCUGCCUGUAAGACUGGGAUAACUCCGGGAAACCGGGGCUAAUACCGGAUAACUCUUUCCCUCACAUGAGGGAAAGCUGAAAGAUGGCAUCUCGCUAUCACUUACAGAUGGGCCCGCGGCGCAUUAGCUAGUUGGUGAGGUAACGGCUCACCAAGGCGACGAUGCGUAGCCGACCUGAGAGGGUGAUCGGCCACACUGGGACUGAGACACGGCCCAGACUCCUACGGGAGGCAGCAGUAGGGAAUCUUCCGCAAUGGACGAAAGUCUGACGGAGCAACGCCGCGUGAGUGAUGAAGGUUUUCGGAUCGUAAAACUCUGUUGUCAGGGAAGAACAAGUACCGGAGUAACUGCCGGUACCUUGACGGUACCUGACCAGAAAGCCACGGCUAACUACGUG
rnacentral:rRNA from 1 species